UAAAAACAUAACAUAUUGUUUAGAUUUACAAGAGCGACAUCUCAAGUCAAUUUCCUAAUAUGCAAAUAUUGGGGUUGAGCAGGUUAUCAGCUGUAAAGUAGAUCCUGUAGAUGAAGCCACAACCUGAGAGUUGAACAAAGCAAACAGAAUUUUGUAAUGAGGAGGUACUCGAACGGUUGGCUCAGUUGGUUAGAGCACCGGCACGGAACUCCGGAGGUUGUGGGUUCGAGUCUCGCAUCGUUCAUAAAAUUUUGUUUUUCAAAUUUUAUUUGUGUAUAAUAUUAUCUGAAAUAUAUUAGGACAAUGUUCUUCUAAGGGACUUCUUCACAUUUUAUUAAUUGUAAGGUUUAAAAUUAUAAUUUCACAAAAAUAACAAGAUCUCCGUAAGUUGCACAAUUAUUUCUGUAUAGUUUGUAUAUUAGAAUAGAAAAUGAUUUAACUUUUUAUUGCUUGAGGCAACAUUAAUAUAUGUGUAACAGCAUCAAAGUAUGCAUAUUUGUUACAUUUAAUAAAAAUUACCACAUUAUUGUAACAUUUUUUUUUAAUAUAUAGUUUGUAUUUUCUUCUAGUAUAUAAUAUUAAUAUGGAUGUCUUAUUCCGCCUCUGAAUUUGGGGAGAUUUAAAAAGGGUAAAAGUGUGUGUAGAUUAUACUUGUAUUAAAAUUUAAUUAUAUAAAUAAAUUUAUGUCUUUAUAAUAAUGUGUAUAAAAUUUUAAUUAUUGGAUGUCAUUAUAAAAAGGUUUUUCGUCAAAAAAAUAUAAUUAAACAAUCAAAAUAUAAUGUCUUAUAGAACUAUACAACAGUAAAAAAGGCUUUUCAUUAAACAAGCUAACACCUGUAUUCACAAACAGUAUAAUAUAUUUAAAUCAAUGAUGUCUAUUAAACUAUCUAAAGUAGGUUAUUGUUUGUGAAUACUGCCACCAGAUUAUAAAACUAAAUAUUAUCUUAACUAUAUACAUAAUAUUGUAAUAUAUAUAUAUACACAUGUUUUACUUACACUAAUUAAAUCAAAUAAAUUAUAUAAAUGUA